GCAGUCGUACGAGAGUUUUUAACUCAAGUGGCGGACGGGUGAGUAACACGUGAGAAUCUGCCUUUAGGAGGGGGAUAACAACUGGAAACGGUUGCUAAUACCCCAUAUGCUUUCGAGUGAAAUGGAUUUAUCCGCCUAAAGAGGAGCUCGCGGCUGAUUAGCUUGUUGGUAGGGUAAUGGCCUACCAAGGCGACGAUCAGUAUCUGGUUUGAGAGGAUGAUCAGACACACUGGAACUGAGACACGGUCCAGACUCCUACGGGAGGCAGCAGUGGGGAAUUUUCCGCAAUGGGCGAAAGCCUGACGGAGCAAUACCGCGUGAGGGAAGACGGCCUAUGGGUUGUAAACCCCUUUUCUCAGGGAGGAACUCAAUGACGUGUACCUGAGGAAUAAGCAUCGGCUAACUCCGUGCCAGCAGCCGCGGUAAGACGGAGGAUGCAAGUGUUAUCCGGAAUCACUGGGCGUAAAGCGUCUGUAGGUGGUUUAAUAAGUCAACUGUUAAAUCUUGAGGCUCAACUUCAAAAUCGCAGUCGAAACUAUUAGACUAGAGUAUAGUAGGGGUAAAGGGAAUUUCCAGUGGAGCGGUGAAAUGCGUAGAGAUUGGAAAGAACACCGAUGGCGAAGGCACUUUACUGGGCUAUUACUAACACUCAGAGACGAAAGCUAGGGUAGCAAAUGGGAUUAGAUACCC
rnacentral:rRNA from 1 species